GUGGGGAAUAUUGCACAAUGGGCGAAAGCCUGAUGCAGCGACGCCGCGUGAGUGAGGAAGUAUUUCGGUAUGUAAAGCUCUAUCAGCAGGGAAGAAAGAAAUGACGGUACCUGAGUAAGAAGCUCCGGCUAAAUACGUGCCAGCAGCCGCGGUAAUACGUAUGGAGCAAGCGUUAUCCGGAUUUACUGGGUGUAAAGGGAGCGUAGGCGGCAGAGCAAGUCUGAUGUGAAAGCCCGGGGCUCAACCCCGGUAGUGCAUUGGAAACUGUUCAGCUUGAGUGUCGGAGGGGUAAGCGGAAUUCCUGGUGUAGCGGUGAAAUGCGUAGAUAUCAGGAAGAACACCGGAGGCGAAGGCGGCUUACUGGACGAUUACUGACGCUGAGGCUCGAAAGCGUGGGGAGCGAACAGGAUUAGAAACCCCAGUAGUCC
rnacentral:rRNA from 1 species